rnacentral:lncRNA from 1 species
AUUAAAAACACAUAUAUUAUAUUUGAAAAUACAAGUUGUUUUUUGGUUAUUAAAAUGUAUACUUGGAUUGUAGUCUUGUAUGCUCAUGUGUGCUCAGUUACAAGUAUAGGUUUAUAUUUGCAUAGGGAAUUUUUUGGAUGAGAAAAGAAUGCACACUUUUAAGAGCUUAACAUAUGGUAGAUGCAUAUACGUUUUUUUUUUUAUAGUAUUACUCAAAAUAUUGGUUGCAC